UUCAUGGAGAGUUUGAUCCUGGCUCAGGACGAACGCUGGCGGCGUGCCUAAUACAUGCAAGUCGAGCGGACCGACGGGAGCUUGCUCCCUUAGGUCAGCGGCGGACGGGUGAGUAACACGUGGGUAACCUGCCUGUAAGACUGGGAUAACUCCGGGAAACCGGGGCUAAUACCGGAUGCUUGAUUGAGCCGCAUGGUUCAAUUAUAAAAGGUGGCUUUCAGCUACCACUUGCAGAUGGACCCGCGGCGCAUUAGCUAGUUGGUGAGGUAACGGCUCACCAAAGCGACGAUGCGUAGCCGACCUGAGAGGGUGAUCGGCCACACUGGGACUGAGACACGGCCCAGACUCCUACGGGAGGCAGCAGUAGGGA
rnacentral:rRNA from 1 species